rnacentral:tRNA from 3 species
GGGGCCUUAUCUCAGCGGUAGAGAGCCCGAUUCCAGUCCUUGGAGAUUCCGGGAGGUCGUCCGUUCGAUCCGGGCAGGCCUCA